GUAUAUAUAGCUCAGUGGUAGAGUGUAUGCUUGGCACGCAUGUGGUCAUGGGUUCAAUCCCCAGUACCUCCA
rnacentral:tRNA from 1 species